rnacentral:rRNA from 1 species
UGGCGUACGGGUGAGUAACACGUGGAUUAUCUGCCCUGGAGUGGGGAAUAACGCUGGGAAACCGGCGCUAAUACCGCAUAUUCCCGAGAGGGGAAAGCAGCAAUGCGCUCGAGGAGGAGUCCGCGGCUGAUUAGCUAGUUGGUAGGGUAACGGCCUACCAAGGCUAUGAUCGGUAGCCGGCCUGAGAGGGCACACGGCCACACUGGCACUGAAACACGGGCCAG